rnacentral:tRNA from 1 species
CGCGGGGUAGAGCAGUUUGGUAGCUCGUCGGGCUCAUAACCCGGAGGUCGCUGGUUCAAAUCCAGCCCCCGCUACCA